CUUUUUUAUACAUGCACAUAGCACUUGGAGUGCUUAUAUGCCUGUUCAUAAGGGUCUUCUAAACUUCCAAUAAUGUAUCUGUGCUUUUGAAAUCUGCCUAAAGACAUUGUGCCUACAUUUUCUUUUUAAGCUUAUGUUAAGUUGCUUAUUUUUUCCCAACUGUUAUAUACUACUUAAGACAGCUGUGAUGUUAAAUGAUUACUCCUCUCAACAGUAUUUAAUUCAAGGCACUUCCCUCCUCUGUGGCUGCUGGAUUUCAAGACAAAGCUUCCAGAAUGAUUUAGAGACCAAAACUAGAAAGAAAUAAAGCCAGAGAUUCAGCAACUACCAAAAAUGAGAGUGCAAGCUUUUUCAGCCAUGCUGG
rnacentral:lncRNA from 1 species